GACGAACGCUGGCGGCGGGCUUAACACAUGCAAGUCGAACGGAAAGGCCCUGCUUUUGUGGGGUGCUCGAGUGGCGAACGGGUGAGUAACAUGUGAGUAACCUGCCCUUGACUUUGGGAUAACUUCAGGAAACUGGGGCUAAUACCGGAUAGGAGCUCCUGCUGCAUGGUGGGGGUUGGAAAGUUUCGGCGGUUGGGGAUGGACUCGCGGCUUAUCAGCUUGUUGGUGGGGUAGUGGCUUACCAAGGCUUUGACGGGUAGCCGGCCUGAGAGGGUGACCGGCCACAUUGGGACUGAGAUACGGCCCAGACUCCUACGGGAGGCAGCAGUGGGGAAUAUUGCACAAUGGGCGGAAGCCUGAUGCAGCGACGCCGCGUGCGGGAUGACGGCCUUCGUGUUGUAAACCGCUUUCGCCUGUGACGAAGCGUGAGUGACGGUAAUGGGUAAAGAAGCACCGGCUAACUACGUG
rnacentral:rRNA from 1 species